UGGUUGGUUUGAAACUGACCCCAGAUAUCUCUACACGAAACUCUACAUCAUCGUGUUUCUUCUGUUCAUUGCCGUCUUCAACGGCUUGUUAGAGUUCUUCAAUCAUUAGCUGGAUUCAAGUUUCAAAAUUCUUCACAUGAAUAGUGAAUUCCAAUGCUUAGCAUAAAACAAAUGCCGAUAGGCCUAUUGUGUUUAUAAAAUCCACGUGCCUCAAUAGAAGUCAGUCAAGACUAUGAAGCCAUACUUUCGUAUAAUUAAAGAAACGGGACGUUACGAUGGUGGGGAGGAUGGUCACACUCGGAUGAUUAUUUUA